UGGAAUGCUCGAUUUUAAUCCAGGUAAUUAUUUGUGAUAAUUUCUUUUGAAUUAACAAUAGUACUUGUCAUCUCACAUCGGUCACAGAAGGGUCUUGUCAAGGGUAUAUAAGGCGCCAGGAAUCGUCCCUUCGGGACAUCCGAUAAAAUUGGAACGAUACAAAGAAGAUUAGCAUGGCCCAUGCGCAAGGAUGACACGCACAAAUCGAGAAAUGUUGCCACAGAUUCGUAGUUGCAACAUCCAGGAUUGGCUCUUCCUGAAUAGUAGUUUUGAAGGUAUCCUUUUUGCCAAGAUCAAGCAAUGCUGCAGAAACAAGGAUGCACAACAUGCUGUUGGUCUGUGAGAAUCCUUGGUUUCAGAGUGUCUGCAAAUGAUCGACAUAGUGUGUCUGGGAUCAAGCAUGUCAAAGACCCCUGUUUCAUGAAUGUAGCCAAACAAUUCUACGGUUUAUGAUCUGAUCUAUUUGUGUCAAUCUAUCACCUUGCACUUCGGUAUCCUAGGUUUUGAUAUGAGACCUCAUUAAUGUGAACAAAUGACAGACUGACAUUCUAUUUGGCUUCAAUGUGAUAGUUUGGAAUUCCUAAAAGGUCCUGUUUAUGAAUAAAUUUUAAAUUCAUAUAACAUACUUGUCAUUUGCCAGA